rnacentral:rRNA from 1 species
CCUANGGGGGGCAGCAGUCCGGAAUAUUGGGCAAUGGGGGAAACCCUGACCCAGCCACGCUGUGUGGGUGAUGAAGGCCUUCGGGUCGUAAAGCCCUGUCAGAGAGGAAGAAACUGUUGACGGUUAAUACCCGUCGGCUUUGACGUUACUCUCAAAGGAAGCACCGGCUAACUACGUGCCAGCAGCCGCGGUAAUACGUAGGGUGCAAGCGUUGUUCGGAAUUACUGGGCGUAAAGCGCGUGUAGGUGGCUAGUUAAGUCUGAUGUGAAAGCCCUCGGCUCAACCGAGGAAGUGCAUUGGAUACUGGUUAGCUUGAGUACGGGAGAGGGAGGUGGAAUUCUCAGUGUAGCGGUGAAAUGCGCAGAUAUUGAGAGGAACACCGGUGGCGAAGGCGGCCUCCUGGACCGAUACUGACACUGAAACGCGAAAGCGUGGGGAGCGAACAGGAUUAGAUACCCCANUANUC